rnacentral:lncRNA from 1 species
UUUUAGUGAGCUGGUUAUGAGACAGCUGUAGGUCUAGAAUAGAUGAAACAUUAAACCCAUUUGGGGGAAUGCCAUCAUCAGAUAAUUUAUUGUAGUUCAGCCUAAGGAAAGUCACUUUGGGUAUUGCACUGAAGUAGUUUUCUGGUAUGACUUCAAUGGAGUUGUUGUCUAAAAACAGCUGCAGUGUGUUAGCUGGAAUGCUUAAAGGCAUCUUUUUGAGGGAAUUUUUCGCUAUGUUGAGUUGCAUAAGACUGUUGAGUCCUUGGAAGGUGUCACUUUGAAGAGCGCUGUCCAACAAAUUAUUCUGGUGCAGAUCUAACAUAGUGAGAUUUUCCAAAUUGCUGAAGACUCCUUCUGGGAUUCUGGAGAUUUUGUUUCUAGCCAGCCUUAGCUGUUCCAAGCCCACCGGUAAUGGAGCUGGCACCUCUUCCAACUCAUUAUCUUCAAGGAAUAAGUACAACAGCCUUUUCAGCUUGCUGAGCACACCACUCUCAAUUCCAUUGUUGGUGAUUUUAUUCUUGUUCAGAUUUAUCCAUCUCAAAUGAGUGGCAUUAACAAAAGGCUUCUCUGAAAUUGUUUCAAUCAGGUUGUUUUGAAGAUAGAGGUACCAAAUUCUUGCUGGGAUUGCAGGUAUUUCUUUAAGUCCUUUGUUAUCACAGUAUAAUGCAUUGGGGAAACUAGGAGGGCAAAAACACUCUUGUGGACACUCAAAAGUGUAGUGAGACCAAUGCUCAGGAUCCAGCUCAUUAUAAACUUGUCUCACAGUUCGAGUCCACACAGAAUGGACUAAGAAUAAUAGCAAAAGACUUGGACAGACUUUUAGAGUCAUCAUUUGCCUUGUUAGUCAAGUUCCUGGAGCUGUCUGCAGCCAGUUAGAAAUCGCUGUUACAGCCUUUGGCUGCUAACCACUGUGUUUGCUUCCUGUCCUCAGCUUUCUUGGAUCUCCCCUUUCUAUUGGUCACUGCUGUUAGACUGUAAUAGCUUGAGUCAGGCUACAAGCCGUGUUCUAUGAAUACAGCCUAAUAUAUACGCAUCAGUGACUACAGCUUUUAACCCCUAAAAUAGCUAAGGCACCUCAGCACCUAGGCAAGAAAAGGCAGGAAAUCCUGACUUUAAUAUCAAGCAACCACAGAGCUGAAGGAAUUUGAUUCUUACAUUUUAGCAAAUGAGAUGAUCUGGUCUAGAUGAAAUUGGUAACAAAAAGUGUUCCCUUAUUCAAUACAUUUGUCAAAUUAUACUUUACACACAAAGCUUGCUUACAUCAUAAUUCAUUCUCAUAAUACCUGAACUGGCCACAAAGCAUUAAAAACAGUGCCAUCUGUUCCUACGGAAAUCUUUUAUUUGAUUUUGAUUAAAUGCAGAUGCUGCCUUUCCAUUUAAAGAUGUAAUUCUUGAUUAGGGGAAGAAGAUAGCAAAAGCAUUUGCUAAGAAUUUUUUAAUAACAUAUAUUUUCAUUUCUUUAAGGAUUAAAACAUGCCUUUUCCUUUUUCCUCUGAGACAUUUUUGCAUAUAUUUCUACUAAGAUAUCAUAUUCCACAGUGCCUCCUGCAGUGAGGUCUGUUUUUAAUUAUCAAGGCACCAAUUAAUUAUCUUGUUUUAUCACUGAUCUAAAGUAAACUGUCUCCAGCCAACUCACUUUCCAAAGCAUAGAUGCAUAUUUCUCACAUUAAAUACUUCGGGGGGGAUUUUUGUUUUCUUUUCUGGUACAAAAAGUAACAGAUAAAUAUCAGGAAAACUAGCCAGCCUCAAAGCCAGAGCAUAAGUAUUUUAAAAGAAAAGUUAAUGAAAAUGCUACAAACAUAAAAUACAUCCUCAAAGUUUUUAUGAGUUUAUGUUUGUUAUAAAAUGUAUAAUAAAUUAAAUUCAGUUCAAUAUAGUUUUUUUAGUAAUAAAAUCUCCAAUAACUUAUUUAAUAAUGUUUAGUACUUUGAUUCCCAAAUUCAGAAUGUCUAAAAAGUGGUAUAAGAAAUAUCUACCAACUUAGUCUUCAUUUUAAUCCUCAUUCUUUUAUUUUGCAAAAAUGACAUAAAUAAACGGAAAUCAACCCUUAAGUACAUUUUCAGCUUCCACUGACUUCAGUAAGGCUAAUGUUAAGCACAUUUUAAACUUUUGUUGACAAGCACAUAUUUGUACUAGCUUGCUUUUUGUUUAUGGAAAAAAAAUACAUCUUUAUUAC